rnacentral:misc_RNA from 1 species
GGUGUUUUGCUAAUGGUACAUAUUCCUUGUUCAAUAUUCCUUUGUCGGACAUCGCUGAUGACAACAUGAGGAAAUACAACAGAAAACACCCAAUAUCAUCUAUGGUGUACGGAACUAACGCUCUAUUCGUGAAGCCUGCUAUCUCUUUGUCUCCCAUGUUGGCAGCUGGCCAUACUGAACAGAUACGGAUACCGUUAUAUACAGCAUUCCAAAAACAGCCCUGUCAGACCUAAAGCAAACACUCCGUCCCCCGACCAACUGAAGGACCUGAAGGAUGCUAUGUUCUUCUUGGUGUGUUGGUAUCCAAUCAUUAUUGGAACCAUACAGUUAAUAAGUUGGUCGUAUUACAAAAUAACCAACAGAACUGAAAUGGAAAUUAAAGUGUCUUUAAAUCCUUGAUAUGUUAGUGUAAUAAGUCAGGUUUUUUUAAUGGUUUAACAUAUGAACAUAUCAUAUACAAUGCACAGGUAUAUUGGGUAAAAAAAAUCUGGUAUUUUUAGCUUGGAAUGUGAGUUCAUUCUGGGUUUUUUUGUAUGUGAAAAUGUGGCGUUAUUUACAUAUUAAUCUACAUGUAAUACAUGUAGAUACUUGUAUAACAAUUAAUAAGUUAUUAACAUAUU